rnacentral:rRNA from 1 species
AGCAGCCGCGGUAAUUCCAGCUCCAAUAGCGUAUAUUAAAGUUGUUGCAGUUAAAAAGCUCGUAGUUGAAUUUCGGGAUUGACACAUCGGUCGUGCCUUAAGGGGUAUGAACUGGUGUAGUCAAUUUCUCACCUUCUGGAGAACCGCGAUGCCCUUAAUUGGGUGUCGCGGGGAACCAGGACCUUUACUUUGAAAAAUUAGAGUGUUUAAAGCAGGCAUUUUGCUUGAAUACAUUAGCAUGGAAUAAUAAAAUAGGACGGCAUGAUUCUAUUUUGUUGGUUUCUAGGAUCACCGUAAUGACUAAUAGGGAUAGUUGGGGGCAUUAGUAUUCAAUUGUCAGAGGUGGAAUUCUUGGAUUUAUUGAAGACUAACUACUGCGAAAGCAUUUGCCAAGGAUGUUUUCAUUAAUCAAGAACGAAAGUUAGGGGAUCGAAGACGAUCAGAUACCGUCGUAGUCUUAACCAUAAACUAUGCCGACUAGGAAUCAGACGAUGUUAAUUUUUAAUGUAACUCGUUUGGC